rnacentral:rRNA from 1 species
GUCUACAGCCGUACCACCCUGAACAUGCCAAUCUCAUAUGAUCUCAGAAGCUGAGCAGGGUGGUUGGGAGACCACCUGGGAAUACUGGGUGCUGUAGGCU